AAUUACGUCAACAAAUGACAAUUCUACCACCAUUUUAAGUUUGAUUAAAUUUUGGACAAAUGUGUUUGUUUUAAUUUGGCUCCCGCUAAAAGUAAACGUAUAUAUACUGGGCAAGAGUUGCUGAAUUUUAUCGUGAAUGACAGUGAAUUUGGUUCGGACAUGUUUGACGGAAAUUCGGAUGACCGUUACAGUGAAAAGACAGUUUCCAAUCGGUCAUCUAUACCUACUACACCUGUCCAGAUUCCUCCGACGCAGCGGAUCAUAAAUUCCUGUCCCCAUGAGGCAACGAGGGCAUGCUUGGGGUGGAGGCCUUGGUCGCCGAUGAGUCAAUGUUCGUGGACAGUAGGAUGACGCUAAAAAUUAACCUGACUGACAUUCAUGUGUGCUUCAUGCAAUCCCAUGAGUUUUACCAUUCACACAAAAACAUCAAACAAGCCGGAUUGUGUAUAUUUUGUUAAAAUUAGUCAAAAAGGAUAAAAAAAGGUGUCAGACUGUGUGAUUGGAAAAGGUAUUAAUCACACUUUGUGUUGCGAAUAAAUGUUUGUAGAUUUUUUAGAUGUUCAUGUGUAUAUUUAAACUAUAUAUGGAAAUCAUUCAAGUGUUAAAUAUUGCUGAUUGUUUUUGUCUAUGAAAAAAUAUUGCAUAUUCUUGUAUUUUCUUCAAAUAUUGUUUGCUAUAUAUAUGGAAAUUGACACAAUCAGUAUUUGCAGUACAACAUAAGUAAAAGUGUCUAUUGUAUACAUGUUUAUGUUUUCUAUUUUUGUCUAAAUUUGAACAAGAUCUAAAAAAUAAGGAAAAUUUGCAAGUUUAAAAAAGAUAGGCGUUAGAUUCUGAGAAAGCCUAAAAUCAAUCUGGGGCUGGCUGGUAUUUUCUGCGACAUAUAUUCAGCUGAAAUGGAUUACAAUACGGUGUAGGUUUUUUGUAAAUUCUUUUCUUCGAACUUAGAUGGCUACCAAUGCCAAUCAUGUAGUCAAAGCAAGAGUGAUAGCUGUAGUUUAUAUUUGAUUGCAAAUGACUAUAAUAAUUUUGUGAGUUAUUUUUCAAGUCACCUUGUCUAGACUCAUGGCAUGAGAUACGACAAUGUAUUUUAAUUAUUUUUAACCAAGUUUUCCUAAGGAAAAGUGGAAACCUAGUUUAUAGAUUUAGAUAUGCCAUUGGGCAGGCAGGUGGCUGUGACCACUGACGCUUGUGUCCAGGCUUUAACUUAGCCAUGCAUAGGGUAUUUUGAAAAAAAAAAUCAAAAAGGUUUAAAAAACUGGAAAACUGUGGUUUGAGUUCUCUCAUUUAUGAAAUAGUUUAAAGAAAUACAUUUGCUUGAUCUCAAAUAGCAUUUGUUUGAUCUCAAAACUAAUAUUUGUAUAUAAUUAUCUUUAAGUGUUAUCAUUCUUUCACUGGAUGUUAUCCUUGUACUGUUUGCAAUAUCUUUGUUUAGUUAAUAAGUGAAUAAAAUGUGAGCAAAAGUGA